UACGUAGGGUCCGAGCGUUGUCCGGAUUUAUUGGGCGUAAAGAGCUCGUAGGCGGCUGCUCAAGUCGAAUGUGAAAACUCGAGGCUCAACCUCGAGCCUGCAUUCGAUACUGGGCGGCUAGAGUCUGGUAGGGGGAUCUGGAAUUCCUGGUGUAGCGGUGGAAUGCGCAGAUAUCAGGAGGAACACCGGUGGCGAAGGCGGUUCUCUGGGCCUGUACUGACGCUGAGGAGCGAAAGCGUGGGGAGCAAACAGG
rnacentral:rRNA from 1 species